rnacentral:rRNA from 1 species
UACGGAGUGUGCAAGCGUUACUCGGAAUCACUGGGCAUAAAGCGCGCGUAGGCGGGUAUUCAAGUCGGUUGUGAAAUCCCCCAGCUCAACUGGGGAACUGCAUCCGAUACUGUCUGUCUUGAGGACGAGAGGGGAGAGUGGGAAACUUCUGGUGGAGCGGUGAAAAUGCGUAGAGAUCCGGAGGAACACCGACGGCGCAGGCAGCGUCCUGGCCGCUUGCUGACACCUGAGGGCACGAA